rnacentral:rRNA from 1 species
CAGUCGCCACGGUAAUACGUAGGUGGCGAGCGUUGUCCGGAAUUAUUGGGCGUAAAGCGCGCGCAGGCGGAUCGGUCAGUCUGUCUUAAAAGUUCGGGGCUUAACCCCGUGAUGGGAUGGAAACUGCCAAUCUAGAGUAUCGGAGAGGAAAGUGGAAUUCCUAGUGUAGCGGUGAAAUGCGUAGAUAUUAGGAAGAACACCAGUGGCGAAGGCGACUUUCUGGACGAAAACUGACGCUGAGGCGCGAAAGCCAGGGGAGCGAACGGGAUUAGAUACCCCCGUAGUCCCUGUCUCUUAUACA